CACGUAGGGCGCGAGCGUUGUCCGGAAUUAUUGGGCGUAAAGAGCUCGUAGGCGGCCUGUUGCGUCCGCUGUGAAAGCCCGGGGCUUGACCCCGGGUCGGCAGUGGAUACGGGCAGGCUAGAGGUAGGUAGGGGGAGAAUGGAAUUCCCGGUGUAGCGGUGAAAUGCGCAGAUAUCGGGAGGAACACCUAUGGCGAAGGCAGCUUACUAGGCAGGUACUGACACUGAGGCGCGAAAGCGUGGGUAGCGAACAGG
rnacentral:rRNA from 1 species